rnacentral:rRNA from 1 species
UGGGGAAUUUUGGACAAUGGGCGAAAGCCUGAUCCAGCAAUGCCGCGUGUGUGAAGAAGGCCUUCGGGUUGUAAAGCACUUUUGUCCGGAAAGAAAUGGCUCUGGUUAAUACCUGGGGUCGAUGACGGUACCGGAAGAAUAAGGACCGGCUAACUACGUGCCAGCAGCCGCGGUAAUACGUAGGGUCCAAGCGUUAAUCGGAAUUACUGGGCGUAAAGCGUGCGCAGGCGGUUGUGCAAGACCGAUGUGAAAUCCCCGAGCUUAACUUGGGAAUUGCAUUGGUGACUGCACGGCUAGAGUGUGUCAGAGGGGGGUAGAAUUCCACGUGUAGCAGUGAAAUGCGUAGAGAUGUGGAGGGAAUACCGAUGGCGAAGGCAGCCCCCUGGGAUAACACUGACGCUCAUGCACGAAAGCGUGGGGAGCAAACAGGAUUAGAUACCCUGGUAGUCCACGCCCUAAACGAUGUCAACUAGUUGUUGGGGAUUCA